rnacentral:rRNA from 1 species
GAUGAACGCUGGCGGCGUGCCUAAUACAUGCAAGUCGAGCGAACAGACGAGGAGCUUGCUCCUCUGACGUUAGCGGCGGACGGGUGAGUAACACGUGGAUAACCUACCUAUAAGACUGGGAUAACUUCGGGAAACCGGAGCUAAUACCGGAUAACAUGUUGAACCGCAUGGUUCAACAGUGAAAGACGGUUUUGCUGUCACUUAUAGAUGGAUCCGCGUCGCAUUAGCUAGUUGGUAAGGUAACGGCUUACCAAGGCAACGAUGCGUAGCCGACCUGAGAGGGUGAUCGGCCACACUGGAACUGAGACACGGUCCAGACUCCUACGGGAGGCAGCAGUAGGGAAUCUUCCGCAAUGGGCGAAAGCCUGACGGGGCAACGCCGCGUGAGUGAAGAAGGUCUUCGGAUCGUAAAACUCUGUUAUUAGGGAAGAACAAAUGUGUAAGUAACUAUGCACGUCUUGACGGUACCUAAUCAGAAAGCCACGGCUAACUACGUG